AAUGGAUUUGGCGGCGAAAUAGACCAUUCAGAGGAACUUGUCCCGUAAACGAUAAUCCUCGAUAACUUAACCCGGGUUGGUAGUCAGUUUGUAUACCGUUGUUGUCAGAUAACUCUAGUAAGAUGUUUUCAGGGAUAAAAAAUUUAAGGACUUCAAAUAAAGGUGCAGCUUACAUCCGGGGGGAGAUGAGUUACAAUAAGAGUUGAAUUGUGGAUAGAAGCUUGAAAUUGGGUUUUUGAAAAUGGAUUUGUUUGUAAAUAUGAAAAGGUAGCCAUAUUGAAAAGAGCACUAUUUCGUGUACACACCGCCCGUC
rnacentral:rRNA from 1 species